rnacentral:rRNA from 1 species
AUUGAACGCUGGCGGCAUGCCUAACACAUGCAAGUCGAACGGGGGCAGCAAUGCCUUAGUGGCGGACGGGUGAGGAACGCGUAGGAAUUGGCCCACGAGUGGGGGACAACCUGGGGGAAACCCCAGGCUAAUACCGCAUACGCUCGCGAGAGGAAAGCGGGGGGACCUUCGGGGCCUCGCGCUGGUGGACAAGCCUACGUCCGAUUAGCUAGUUGGUAGGGUAAAAGCCUACCAAGGCGACGAUCGGUAGCUGGUCUGAGAGGAUGAUCAGCCACACUGGGACUGAGACACGGCCCAGACUCCUACGGGAGGCAGCAGUGGGGGAAUAUUGGACAAUGGGCGCAGACCUGAUCCAGCAAUGCCGCGUGGGUGAAGAAGGCCUGCGGGUUGUAAAGCCCUUUAAGC